UAAGGAAUAUUGGUCAAUGGACGGAAGUCUGAACCAGCCAUGCCGCGUGCAGGAAGACGGCCCUACGGGUUGUAAACUGCUUUUGUACCGGAAUAAACCUUCCUAUGUAUAGGGAGCUGAAUGUACGGUAAGAAUAAGGAUCGGCUAACUCCGUGCCAGCAGCCGCGGUAAUACGGAGGAUCCGAGCGUUAUCCGGAUUUAUUGGGUUUAAAGGGUGCGUAGGCGGCCUAUUAAGUCAGGGGUGAAAGACGGUAGCUUAACUAUCGCAGUGCCUUUGAUACUGAUAGGCUUGAAUGUACUUGAGGUAGGCGGAAUGUGACAAGUAGCGGUGAAAUGCAUAGAUAUGUCACAGAACACCAAUUGCGAAGGCAGCUUACUAAAGUAUGAUUGACGCUGAGGCACGAAAGCGUGGGGAUCAAACA
rnacentral:rRNA from 1 species